UGACCGCCAGCCGGAGGGGCGGGUCAGGCGUCCACCCGGGGCGCCGUCGUGGUGGCGAUGACCUUGCCGUUCGGACCGGAAGCGGUCAGCC
rnacentral:tRNA from 1 species